rnacentral:rRNA from 1 species
CGGGGUCCGAUUAAGCCAUGCGAGUCGAGAGGGUUCGGCCCUCGGCGUACUGCUCAGUAACACGUGGAUAACCUGCCCUAGGGAAGGGGAUAAUCCCGGGAAACUGGGGAUAAUACCCUAUAGGUUACAGAUGCUGGAAUGCUCUGUAAUCAAAAGUUCCGGCGCCCUAGGAUGGAUCUGCGGCCGAUUAUGUUGUUGUUGGGGUAAUGGCCCAACAAGCCAGUAAUCGGUACGGGUUGUGGGAGCAAGAGCCCGGAGUUGGAUUCUGAGACACGAAUCCAGGCCCUACGGGGCGCAGCAGGCGCGAAAACUUUACAAUGCGGGCAACCGUGAUACGGGAACCUCGAGUGCCUGUAAAUGCAGGCUGCUCAGAUGCCUAAAACACAUCUGGAGAAAGGGCCGGGCAAGACCGGUGCCAGCCGCCGCGGUAAUACCGGCGGCUCGAGAGGUGGCCACUUUUAUUGGGCUUAAAGCGUUCGUAGCUGGGUUGUUAUGUCUCUUGGGAAAUCUGGCGGCUUUACCGUCUGGCGUCUAAUGGAUACUGGCUAUCUUGGAACCGGGAGAGGUGAGGG